GACGGAGGGCGCGAACGUUGUUCGGUGUCACUGGGCUUAGAGAGCACGUAGGCGGCCUGGUUAGUGGGAGGUGAAAGCUCCGGGCUCAACCCGGAAAUUGCCUUCCAAACGGCCAGGCUUGAGGACCGGAGGGGGAAGCGGAACGUCAUGUGUAGCGGUGAAAUGCGUUGAUACAUGACGGAACGCCAGAGGCGAAGGCGGCUUCCUGGUCGGUUUCUGACGCUGAGGUGCGAAAGCGUGGGGAGCAAACGGGAUUAGAUACCCCCGUA
rnacentral:rRNA from 1 species